AAUAAAAUGUGGUGAAUAUAUAAAAUAGUUUGAUCACACUGCGCCAUUAUUUUGAAAAAAAUAAAAUAAAAAUAAACAUAGUCCAUGAUUUCAAAUGAUUAAUCUUUUCGUUUUAACUUUAAUGUGCAUUAAACUGUAUGACUAAGCAGGCUGUUUUCCCGUUAUGCAUACAUAAAUAUAUAUAUUUUUUUCAUAUUGAAAGGCGCAGUGAUCCCUGUCUGUUUUCCCUCUCCUUCCUCGGGGAGAGGUGGAGGCUGUUUGGUUGGAGAUGUGGGUCGGAAGUACCGUAGUUUAUGUAUGCUAAUAGGAGAGUUGGGGGUUGUAGCUAGAUAUUUACGUUCAGUGGGAGCCGCCCUUCAUUCACCCACAUGGUUACCAACUGGUCGCCUUCGCGCCACUUUCCUAACCCCGCAAUCAUUUUUUAAGCAGCGUAUCUGGGCUAUAAAUUGACUCGCGAUCGUCUCGGACUUCACUUCAUGUUUCGGUUUUGUCCUCCGAUAGAAAAGUUUCCGGAUUAGUUACGUAUUUAUUUCUCUCUUUUGUCGGCGAGAGACUAACACGGCAAGCCCAAGCAAGUGAGCGAAGAUGGUGGAUUUCGGCUGAUCCACAUCCACCACGAAGUGCAGGAGCCCCCCCUCCUCCCACCACCACCACAAACACAAUGGCAGCAUGGAGCAGUGUGUCCAUCUCUUCCCAUGAUCCUGGAGGACAGUGGCGCUGUAAUCAGUCUGUGUAUUGUCAAAGUGCUUACAGUGCAGGUAGUACUAUGUAAUACCUACUGCAGUGGAGGCACUUACAGCAAUACCCCGACACUGAUGUGCAGAUCCGUUGAUGUUAACGUGUUUUUUUUUUGUUUUUUUUUUUUGAAGUACUGUCUUUGUGCUAAGGUGCAUCUAGUGCAGAUAGUGAAAUAGACUAGCACCUACUGCCCUAAGUGCUCCUUCUGGCAUAAGGGGCUGUGAUAUGCGCCACCAGACCAUUGUUUUUUCUCCCCCUUCCCUCUAAUUUCUAAUUGGGCUCAAAUCUCGCAGUUCUCUGCUAGUUUUGCAUAGUUGCACUACAAGAAUAGAUGAGUUGUGCAAAUCUAUGCAAAACUGAUGGUGGCCUGCUUGCUCUCCACAUGUUUAGAUCUUUUUUUGGUUUUGGGGGUGUCACAUCAAACACAAUCCACCUGUAACACACUUUUCUUUUUAAAAAAACAAACAAGCAGGAGAGUUUUGCCAGUUGGCAUCCAGUGACAGUUUCAGCAGUACUAAAGUGCUUAUAGUGCAGGUAGUGUUUUCUCCUAUCUACUGCAAUGUGAGCACUUGAAGUACUUCUAACUGCGUCCUUCUGAAGCGCUCGCGUGUAAUUGCUGAAGACUCGUCCGUUGAUCAUCACAUGGUCAGUUUUGCUGGUUUGCAUUCAGCUUUAACUUUUGUUCGCUGUGCAAAUCCAUGCAAAACUGACCAGGUUGAUGAAAUGUGUUCUGCCGAGUUGCAUUGCUUUCAUCAAGAUUUUUUUUUUUUUUUUUUUUUUUACCGUGUGGUGGGUAUUUGUACUUGAUGUGUGAUGUUGGUUUAGAUAUCUGGAGAUGUCCCUUCCUGUGCAGGUGGGGAUUAGUAGCAAUGCUGUGUACCUGGAGGUAUUGCACUUGUCCCGGCCUGUGUAGGAACGAGGAGAUGGAGGCGACCUGUAUCCUGACCCCGAGUAUUAAAUAAAAAAACUGCUGCACUCAUCUACAUGUCCUGUGUGCUCUGUAUGAAAUGUUGUUACUGAUGUGGUUAUUGUAUGUUGUUGAAAUAUAUUAAAGUUUUACACAUUC